UGAGUUGAUCGGGCGAUCGCUGGCGAAGAAUACUUCGCGGGAGGAAAGUCCGGGCUUCGCAGGGCAAGGUGGUCGGUAACUCCGACCGAUCGUGAGAUCAGGGCAAGUGCAACAGAAAGUAAACCGCCGAACGGGUUUUUUACUGCGUGGUAAGGGUGAAACGGUGAGGUAAGAGCUCACCAGCGUGCGGGGUGACUCGUGCGGCUGGGUAAACCCCUCCUGAAGCAAGGCUAAACAGAAAGCAGUGGCUGCUCGCCGCGUUAUGACUUUCGGGUAAGCUGCUCGAGCCCAUCGGCAACGGUGGGCCUAGAUAAAUGAUCGUCCUAGGCGUUUACGCCAACGACAAAACCCGGCUUACGAUCAACUCGUUUU
rnacentral:RNase_P_RNA from 1 species